GAGUGAUCGAAAGAUGAAAAGCACUUUGAAAAGAGAGUUAAACAGCACGUGAAAUUGUUGAAAGGGAAGCGWUUGCGACCAGACUCGCCCGCGGGGUUCAGCCGGCAUUCGUGCCGGUGUACUUCCCCGUGGGCGGGCCAGCGUCGGUUUGGGCGGCCGGUCAAAGGCCCUCGGAAAGUAWCACCCCUCGGGGUGUCWUCUAGCCGAGGGUGCAAUGCGGCCUGCCCGGACCGAGGAACGCGYUCGG
rnacentral:rRNA from 1 species